UCUAAGCUAUGCAAAAGUGCUUAUAGUGCAGGUAGCUAUUAGCACCUACUGCACUUAAAGCACUUCCCGCAUUGCCGUGG